UGAAGUCUUCCUUAUCGUUGGAACCUGGCUCCCGUAGGAGUCUGGGUGAAGUCUUCUUCGUCGUUGGAACCCGACUCCCGUAGGAGUCUGGGUGAAGUCUUCUUUAUCGUUGGAACCCGGCUCCCGUAGGAGUCCGGGUGAAGUCUUCUUUGUCGUUGGAACCCAGCUCCCGUAGGAGUCCGGGUGAAGUCUUCUUUGUCGUUGGAACCCGGCUCCCGCAGGAGUCUGGACCUUCCAUUUUGCUCGAGCCGGCGUGAGGUUCUCCUCUCGUUACCAUCCUGGCUUGUGGGGGUGCUUUAGGGCGCUGUAAGGCCUCUCCCCCAUCCGGUCUAAAAGAAUCGGGCCUUCGAUUUCGCUCAUGUCAGGACGAGGUUCUCCUCCUGUUCCUGACAUGGCUGUGGUGGCACAUUAGGGC
rnacentral:lncRNA from 1 species